GGAUACUAAGAAGGUUUGGUGAUAAAUGAAGAUAGUUUGAGGGGAAUGUUGCCUGGUUCGAGACAUUCAUUAAGCAAUAUUUGUGAAUGUGUCGGACCAGGCUUCAUCCCUCCCAAACAUGCUCAUGCCAUCGCUAGCAUAUUUGCAGCUUACGCCAUAAAAAAUAUUGAGUUAUGCUCUCUCUCUCUCUCUCUCUCUCUCUCUCUCUCUCUCUCUCUCUCUCUCUUUUCGAGUAUUUGCUCUCUCUUUAUCUCUCUUUCUCUAAGCACACAUGCUUACACUCACAAGACUGAUUCUUAGGACCUGUGUUUAAUAACCCCUAAUAAAUAAGCAUUAUCAGUCCCAUAGUUUUGUUUUAUAAUGCUUACAUACUGUUACUACUUGUUGAAGGCGUGUUUUCUUUUCUUAUUAGAAUGGUUCCAUAAUUUGUGAAAGUGUUAUUGCUUUUUUUUUUUCUUAAUUUUUUGUGUGAUUAUUUCAAGUGGAGAGGAUAGAAGGAUGCUAGCUGGUAGUUAGACUUAGCAAGUCCUUGUGUCUAUUUAUCAACAAAUUGUUUUUUCUAGUUUUAAUUUGUGGACAACGUGUUUUCCCUUUUCUCCAUCUUUUAUUUUUCGCAAAUCCUAGUUUUUUUUUCCAUGCAUUUUUAAUCCCUAUCAUUAUACUUCCUAAUUAUUGAAGUAUAUAAUAAUGUUUAUUUUGGUUGGUUAUAGGGAAAAAUAAUUUUUUAUUCAAUUAUAAAAAUAAUACUAUAUUUUUUUCCAAAAGUGGUAAAAAAUAGGUCUCUCAACCCUAAUUUUUAAAUAUUUUAAGGAUAAUGGCACCUUGCCUCUAGUUCUCUCCUCAAUCUUGAAUAGGAUGAAAACAAGAAAAUAAGUAAAAUAGAGAAAGAAAAAUCAUUAAUGAAACUCACUAAGACUAGUAUAAAUUUCUGAGUCGAUAACAUGUUAUUUUGUUUUUUUUUUUUUUGUAGGAGCUUAACUUUCAAAAUAGUUAUAAUAAUAGUAAAAAAAAACAACAACAAUAGUAAGUUUAGUUGAGAAGUGAGUGACAUUUCUUAUUGGUGGUAAAAUGGUACUCAAACAUCUCACCAACAACUAGUUUGAUGGUUGGUGGUAAUGGAAUUUCAUCAUACAAUUAUGAAAUGUUGCAUCAAAAUUAUAGGUGGCAUGCCCAAGACAAUGACAGUUGUGGCAUAGACAAAAAAUUUUGCAAUAAUUUAAUUGGUUAAACAUAUAAUUGUUGGCUGGUUAUAUUAAAAAUGCCAUGUUAAAUAUAUGUUAUGUUGGGCCUAAUAAAUAAAUAGAUAACAAGCUUCAUUAAGAAAAAAAAUAAAUGAGUCUUGGACUUAUAACAAGAUUGGCUAGCCUAUUGGCCUAUUAGCUUAACCUCUAUACACAAGGACACACAACAAAACAUGGGAGCUCUUGGAAUUAAUCCACCGUAAUCUUGACCUAUAAAAGCCUUAAAUCCUAAUUCAAUAGUCCCAACAAAGUACCUAAGUAUCCUCUUAACUACUAACAAAUGAGACUUCUUAAGUGCAGCCUGAAAUUUAGUACACAUACACACACUAAACAUAAUAUUAGGUCUGCUAGCUAUAAGAUACAAGAGACUAUCAAUCAUGCCACGAUAAAUUUUGACAUCAACAUGAAUGCCUUGCUCAUCGUUGUCAGGUUUAGUGGAAGAGCUCAUAGGAGUUCCUAGAAUUUUACCGUCUUCCAUAUUAAAUUUCUCGAGCAAGUCCUAACAUAUUUUGAUUGGCAUAUGAAAGUCUCAUGUUUGGCUUGUUUAAUAUUGAUUCCUAGGAAGAAGCUUAGUUCACUCAUCAUGCUCAUUUCAAAUUCGUUUUGCAUGCAUUUGGCAAACUCAUUACACAAUUCAUCAUUUGUAGCUCCAAAGAUAAUAUCAUCAACAUAUAUCUGUACAAGGAGCAUAUGAUCAUUUUUAGAUUUAAUGAAAACUGUAGUGUAAAUUUUAUGCCUCUGGUAAAUCCAUUUUCUAGAAGAAAACCACGAAGCCUCUCAUACCAAGCUUUAAGAGCUUGUUUCAAUCCAUAAAAGGCUUUAGACAACCGAUAUACGUGAUUAGGAUAUUUAUGAUUUUCAAAACCUAGUGGUUGUUCUAUGUAGACUUCCUUAUUUAUAUAGCCAUUCAAAAAGGCACUUUUGACAUCCAUUUGAUAUAAUUUAAAAUUUUUAAAAGCGGCAUAUGCAAGUAACAUGCGAAUCGCUUCCAUCCUAGCCACAAGAGCAUAUGUUUCCUCAAAGUUUAUUCCUUCGUCCUGAUUAUACCCCUAGGCUACUAACCUACUUUUGUUUCUAGUCACUACAUUUUCACUCUUUUUGAUUCUAUAAACCCAUUUGGUUCCAAUAAUAGUGUGAUCAUCAGGCCUAGGAACUAGGGUCCAAACUUUAUUUCUUUCAAAUUGAUUUAGCUCUUCCUGCAAAGAUAGUACCCAUGAUUCAUCCUCUAUGGCUUCCUUAAUAUUUUUAGGUUCUUACUGAGAUAAGAAUGCAAAAUGACUAACCAAGUUUCUUAAGGAAGAACGUGUGACAACACCAUGUGAGGGUUCACCUAUGAUUUGAUCUAAAGUGUGAUAUACUUCCUUGAGCUUCAAUUUGAAUAUUCAUAUUGUUAUUUACUUUGAAGUAUAUAGUUAUGAAUUGUUGUACUAAUCAGCUCUUUUAGGAGCAAAUUCUCUGUACACAAAUAUUUGAUUUGUAUCUUGUAGAUUGACGAUUCCAAGGGUUGUUUGGAUCGUUGGCUAAGCAAGGGGAUAUUGCUUAGAGAGGCGGGCUCUAGCCUAUGUAAGGAGUGACUGGACGAGGGGAUAUCGUUUGGAGAAGGCGGGCUCUAGCCUUAACCAAGGAGUAUGGUAAAGGUUUGUUCCACCCGUCAACAGAACAGGUUUAGUGAAUCCUUUGGUGGUUUUGCCAAAGGCGAGGAUGUAAGCUAUGUUGAAGCCGAACCUCGUAAAAAUCCCCGUCUUACCCUCUCUUUCCCUAUUCUUUAUUUUCAGUUCAUAUACAACUGCGUGGAUGUUUAAAAUAUCUAAAUUAUACAUACUACGUUUAUUUGGAAAUCAAGUAAACUUAAAGUCCAAUUUUGAUUUGGGUUGCGAAAACCGAAUGGGAGUACAUUGGUUACACCAUAUCUUGCGGAAACCAUACGGGAGUACGUUACUUGGUUAACAUCCCAGAGAUAAAUUUACCAAGAGUUUAUUUGAGUUCUAAAUAUUUGGAAAGAGUGAUUGAAUUCAUCUAUACAGGGCUUUACAUCAGCAAGCAUAAAAUCGCAUUCACUACAGGGCUUGGUUCAAAUUUGGCUAAUAUCCAUUUUGAGUUUUUAUAUUACAUAAGUGCUGUGUAUUGGCUUGGUUGUUUGCUUUCUAAUUAUAUAUGAUUGGUUUGGUUGAAUGAUUGGAUGUUUGUAUGGUUAAGGAUUAAAUAAAGAAACUAAGUUCUUGAGUGCUUAGGAAAUUAAACAAACAAGUCACGAUUUGGUUAAAUGAAAUAAAAUAAGUUUAAGAAUUUUAAAAAGGAAUUAAAAAAAACUUUUAGAAUCCAAUUCACCCCCCCUCUUGGGAAGCUAUUCCUAAUUUCAUAAAGGAUGGCUUCUAAUAAAUUUACAGUCUCUAGGUAGUUCCUGAACCUCAUUUUCAACUUUAUUAUUUUUAAUGGAUUUGUCAUUAAUCUCUGAAUUCUUAUCUAUAUUAUUUUCAAUGGAGAGCAUCUCUAAUCCUUUUAUAAUUUCAGUAUCAUCUUCAUCAUCUCUUUUGGAAAAAGGAUUAGACUCAUCAAAGACAACAUGGAUGGAUUCAAUAAUAGAUAAUGUUCUUUUAUUAAAUACUCUGUAAGCCUUGUUGUGAAGUGAAUAACCUAGAAAAAUUCCUUCAUCAUAUUUUGAGUCAAACUUUUCUAGGUGCUUAUUAUCCCUAUGUACGAAGCAUUUAUAGCCAAAGACAUGAAAACAAGAGAUGUUUGGUCUAUGGCCAUUCCAUAAUUCAUAGGGAGUUUUAUUUAGAGAGGGCCUGAUUAAUAUUUUGUUCAUUACGUAACAGGCAGUGCUCACUGCAUCGGCCCAGAAAUAUUUGGAUAAUUUGUGUUCAUUAAGGAUUGUUCUAUCCAUUUCUUGCAAGGACCUAUUCUUUCUUUCAAUAACACCGUUUUCUGUGGUAAGAAAUAGUACCCGUGUGAACCUAGAAUAGUCAUCCACAAUCACAAAUGCAUAUAAUUUUCCUCCAAGACUUAGAGUUUGAUUAGGACCAAAUAAGUCUAUGUGCAGCAUUUCAAGUGGUCUAGUAGUAGAUAUGAUUUUCUUCUUCUUAAAACUUGACCUCAUUUUCUUACCCAUUUGACAUGCAUCACAAAUUUUAUUUUUCACAAAAUGUGUUUUUGGUAAGCCUUUAACUAAGUCAUUUUUCACAAGUUUUGACAGAAGAUCCAUGCUAGCAUGCCAUAGAUGCCUAUGCCACAACCAACUUGCUUCAUUUAUAGCAGAAAAACAUGCUACAGGUUGUGAAGCUAAGUUAUCAAAACAAGUGAUGUAACAUUUUUGUGAUGAUUAGUAGUAAAAAGAAUUUUGUUAUCAGAUUUGUUUUCAACAAUGCAUUUGUCAUUUUAAAAGGACACUAUAACCUUUAUCACACAAUUGACUUAUACUCAGUACGUUAUGUUUUAAACCAUCAACUAAUAAGACAUUAUCAAUAACUAGGGAAGGUUCCUUACCAACCUUACCUACUCUGAUGAUUUUGCCCUUUGUGUUGUCCCCGAAGAUCAUGAACCCUCCUUCCUUUGGAACAAUGGACGCAAACUUGGCCUUAUCGCCAAUCAUAUGUUGUGAACAGCCGCUGUCCAUGUAUUACUUGUCCUUGGUUGAGGACAACCUCAGACACACCUACAAAAUCAUUUAAGUAACUGAUAUUGGUUUGAAGAUAGGAGUUUCUUCCACCAUUUCCUUAUUAAACCACUUCUCACUUACCCAAAGUUGUCCCUUUAAGCUUGAGACUGGGUCAUAAAUGGCAAUGAUCUUCUUAUAUUGGUCUUUUAGGCCAGAUAUGGAGGGGUUAUUAGGCUGAAGUACAUCCUCUAGAGGGUCCCUUCACAAAAUCAAGGGAGCCACUUCCUCAACACGUUCAUCAAUUAUGUCAACAUGGAUAGCUUGGACAACAUCGAGUGGAUGUUGGGAAGUGUGAAGUACAUUUAGCUAGAGUUGUAUGUUUCCAAAAAACACAUCUAUGAUCCCAAUCCUACAUUGAAAGUACACAUUAGUUGUAGCUAAGAAUGGUUGUCCUAAUAGGAUAGGAUUCGGAUCCUUGGUUGGGCCAAAAGGUUCCAUAUCCAAGACAACAAAGUCAAUAGAAUAAUAGAACUCUUCGACUUUGACCAAGACAUCCUCUAUCACACCCUGAGGCUUUUUCACUGAUCCGUCAGCAAAGCUCAAUAUGACGGGGGUGGACUUCUACUAUUUUAAAUUGAACUAUUGGUAGACUGAGUACAGAAGUAGGUUCACACUUGCUCCCAAAUCUAAAAGAGCCUUAUCAAUGGUGUAAUCACCGAUUACACCGGAGAUGGUGGUAGCUCUGAUUUUGGAGGAAUGUGACCUAAAAUAAUUGAGAUCACAUGCUCAUUCAACCUAACUUAUUUGUUCAUGUGCAUCCUUGACUUAUGCUUUUGUGUGCACAAGUCCUUAAGGAACUUGGCAUACACAGGUACUUAAAAUCUCAGGGUCUAUAGGCACUAACUCAGGAUCCAAAGAGCGCAAACCCAACAUAUACACAUGCAAAACACAAUCAAGACUUCAGAGUAUCAAAUAAAAAUAAAAUUAAAAAAAAAACAAAGAAAAACAAAGCUCGCAGUACUUAAAACUAGAAAUUGGCUUACUACCGUAACAGAGUCUCCAGCAACGACACAAAAAUUUAGUUGGCUCGCCAAGGCUGGGUCUUUAAAUACCAAAGAUAAAAUUUAUAACUGAACUAAUCCCAAGUUUAGUAGAACAAUGAGUAAAUUGUGUAUCGAUCCUCAGGGACUCUAGUGUAGUUAUUUACCACUUCUAGUGUAAUUUACUACACUUUGUGUAAAAAGGAAAAAUGUGAGAUUUUGAAAUUGUUUUUCUAUCAAUUACGAAAGUAGGAAAACUAUAUUAACACUAAUCCUAGAAAGCAAAUCUCAUAUUACGAAUCAAGCUUAGGUUGUCAUUUGCAAUAGCUAUGUUCGGUUAGCUAUUCGUAUUAGGCUAAACAGUUAAGUGAACCAUUCGAGUGGCAUAGGGUAACGAAGGUGCACCAAUCUUCUGGUGUAUGAUCAGGAACCAGGGUAUACCCUAUCCAAUGAUCAUGAGAACACCUAUACAUGAGUCAUAGCUUAUUAUGUAUAAGUGACCGAAUCCUGAGCUAUGCUAUCCUUUAUCCUAGGGUCUCAUCACAAUAAGAAAGAUAAAAGUGCAUGGAAAUUAAAUACAUGGAAUUUAAAGUGCAGGUAUUUAAAUCAAAGUAGUACAAGAACAUGUAUUGAAAAAUGGCCUUAAUUGUAACUCAAUAGCCCGUCACUAGCAAUUGAGAAUACAACCAAGAGCCAGCUAAUCUAUGCGGCAGCACCUAGAACUUGAAGGUUGUCACAGGAUUUCAAAGAAUCCAAGCAUGAACCAGUACAAGGAAUUGAAAUGAAAUCAGUAAAUCUACUUAAAGUAGCACCUAACGACUCUCUUUAUCUGUCACUAACCAAAGAGGGGCCAAAGGGGAACACUAAGCAUAUAGAUGAAGCUAGGUUUUAUAACCAAAAGGGUUUACAAUGAUUCAAAUUCAAAUCAGGAAAGUUUUCUAGAAAAUAUCGUGAAGCAGUUACUUGGGCUCGCGUUUGUCGACUAGGUCACACCCACAUUUUCCCUAUUUGAACCAUGGUUAAGACUCUUAGGAAUUAUAGGGUUCAGGCUUUCUCGAACUAGUUGCGCCUAUAGGUACUCUUAGUCGAGCUACUGGUCGAGACCCUCGGGAUCUCUAGCUCAGUUAAUCUCAGGUUCUUGACUUGGUCACUCCUCGGGGUCUCCUAGUCAAGUUGUUGGUUGAACCUUGCAACAUCUUAUUUUCAAUCUGAGCCUUGGAGUCUUCCUUUCAUAACUUGGUCACCCCUUGUGUUAGCUGGUCGCACCACAUAAUCGAACAAGGCCUUUUGUGCUUUAAUGAAUUAAGGCUUUGGGGCUUUGUUAAGCAUGUGAUUGACUCUUUUUCUUCUCAAUUACUCCCUUGGCUUCUUAUAUUGCUUAACUCCUCAGUUUUAACCUGAUUUUCCUAAAACAUGAACAAACCUUGCAUAACACCGAACUAUGAUAAGAAAGGGUAAAUACAUGAUAAAUGAGGACAAGACAUAGGUAAAUGAGGGCCUAAAAUAAUGCAUUUUAGGGACACAUCACAUUGCAUGUGGAGUCCCCUCGUACAUAUAUAAUUUAGAAUUGCAUAUAUUGUUAAUUCAGGUGUAAUCCCAAGAGGGGGUGAAUUGGGUUUAUUUAACUUCUCUAAGAUUAUUUACCACUUAAUUCCUAUUUAUAUAUUUAACAAAUUAAUUGUAGGGAUUUGAAAUUAAUUCAAAUUAUUAUCCAAAUAAAUUCAAUUUUACCCAAUUAAUUAUCCAGUGCAUGUGCGGUUAUUCAACAUACACACAUGCGAGAUAGAUAAUGAAAUGCGUUGCGAAAAUUAAAAUGAGUAAGGGAAGAGAGAAGGAAAACACAAUUUUUAUAAGGUUCAGCCAACCCGGCCUACGUCCUCGCCUUAAGCAACCCACUCAAGGAUUCCACUAAAUCCCUACUCCUUUAACCGAGACGGAGCUUCCCUUACAUCCGCUUCUUACAAAAGGCACACCUUGCUCCUCACCCGGUUCACAACCCGAUCCGUGAUUACAAUAUAGAAUUUCAAAUCUGCAAAACAACUCAAUGUUGCUUCUAACAAAGUUAGUGAGUAUAAUGGAAAGUCUAACUCAUAUCCAUAUGAUAAAACUUGAAGCUCAAUAUGUAUGUAAUGAUGUAAUCGUUCUAUGAAUGAUAUGCUUCACAAAAUUUUCUUUUGAUCAAAUCUCCCAAAAUAAUUAUAUAAGUAAGUGCUUUGGAGAAGUUAGGGUUUUAAAUAAUCUUUGGUUUAAAAGAAUAUGACUAUUUCACUUCAAAUAUUGAAUCCAACCAAAUGAGCUCAAUACAAAUAUGUAAUUCAGUUUUUCUCCAAAAAUCUAGAUCGAUAAGUUUUAUUCCAAAUAUCCAAAACACAAUAUGAUCUUUGUAUAUGUAUAUGUAUACAUAUAUAUAUAUAUAUAUAUAUGAUAUGUGUUCCAAAGAUCAAAAACCUAAUAUAAUAUUUUUCAGAAAAUAUCCCUCAAUAAUUUAUAUAGUUAUGAGCUCUAAGGAUAUUUAAUCUAGUGGUUUUGUAAUAUCGAAAAUAUCGAGUCUUUAAAUGAAUACACACUUGAAUCAAAAAUAUUUAACCAUUGGUAAAACUUAUCUCAAGUAGUGAUCUUUUCAAAACAAUCUAUAUGUAUAUAAGUACACUCACGAUCAAUCUCUUAAAUAAUAUUCAAUGAUAGAUUUUGGGAUGAAAAAACUCUUUGAGAAUAAGUAGUAACAAACAGAUCGAUUUACCAAACCUCAAUAACAAGUUGAAUGCACAACAAUCGCUAGAAUGCUCUUUCAAAGAUCAAUGUAGCCUUAACUCAGAAUUGACAUAUAAGCUUUGAAACCCCAAGUAAGAAUUCAAAAGUGUGUUCAAUGCACUCCCAAGUUGUGCUAAAAGUUCAAUACACUCAAUCUUAUGCCAAAAGUUGGGGCACUAGGGUUUAGAGGUUGAUUAUAUAGGAAACCUUGGCCUUAGGAUAAGUCCUAACUGUUGGAUCAACUUGAUUAAAAAAUAACUCGUAAUUUUUUUUACUAAAUAUUAAAUUUUUAAUCUUCUCGCAGGUUCAGACGAUUGAGGAUUAGAGUUCAGACGACUAAAGUUCCUAAGGUUCAGACUUCUGAAGUUGCGAGUUCAGAUGAAUGAAGUCAAGACAAAUGAGCUUAAACUUCACUCUCCUGAAGUUGGAUCUUCAGAUCACUGAGCAUAGACUUCGGUCUUCUAAAGUUGAUACUUUAGACUUCUAGGUUGUUGGAUCGUUGACCAAGUGUGAGGUAUCGCUUGGAGAGAUUUUGCUCUAGCCUAUUGAAGGAGUGACCAAGUGUGGGGUAUCACUUGGAGAGGCGUUGCUCUAUCCUACUUAAGGAGUGUUUGAGUGUGGGGUAUCGCUUGUAAAAGGUUUGUUCCGCUCGGAAACGAACGGUAUAGUGGAAUCCUUUGGUGGUAUUGGCCAAAGGCGAGGACGUAAGCUGGGGAUAAGCCGAACCUCGUAAAAACUCUUGUCUCUCUCUCUUUCCCUUA